UGUUGGGCGUGGGAGAGCGUUGUGUGUGCGGGGCUUCGACGGUGUGCGAGGGGAAGCGAUGGAAGCUGCUGUGCCUCGGGGGCAGCUGUGGAGGAGCUGCUCCUGAGCGUGCUGAGCCAUGCUGGCCUUGGGAGGUGUUCAGCUGGGGGCUGUAAGGCAGGAGCUGCUGUCUGUUGGCUGAGUGAAGGGCCUUCCUGAGCUGCACCGAGUGCUGCCCCUUCCCUCCUGCUGCAUGGGGAGCCUUGCCCUGCUCCUCAUCCCUGUGAGGACCUCUUGGGGUCUUGUGCUUUGGCUCCUGUAACACUCAGCUUAUAAACUUUACUGGCCACGAGGCUUCGUGAGCUGAAGCAUGCCAAGUCAGGCAUGUGUCUCAUGGGGAGAUGAGCUUUGAGGUACGGCUCUGCUGCUCCUCGUUGUGAGUUUAAUUUCUGGUCUGAAAAAAAUCUGUAAGCAACUGCAGGGGAAAAAGGUGAGCUGUGUCCAGGAUGGCUUUGUAGUGAAUGAAUGGAGCUAAUCCCAUCUCCGUCUCUGGCAGUGUAACAGCUUGCAGAUAAGGAUAAGGCAACGUGUGUCAUAUGCCUUGAUUUUUAGUGGAACUUCUGAUGUUGUUUUGCGGGAUUUUCUAAUAAUAAACUGAAAAACCAGUCUACGUGAUACUGCUUUAGCAGGGUUGCAGAUCUAGUUGUGGAAAAAUGUACUUGGUAUCAGCACUUGUCUGGGGAACUACCUUCAGUCCAUUACUCAUCCACAACGAAACAGGCCUUGUAAUUACUGUGUUUGAAGAUGAGGUCAAGUUUGAGCUUGUAUGAAUGCACUGCCAGAGAACUGGAAUGCAAAACGGGGAGCUCUAUGGAUAAAAGUAACAGGUGUAGUACUGUAUACUUCAUAAUUGUGGAGCUGAUUGUAUUGCAGGAAAGGAUGGAGGGGCUGCUGUGGGCUGUAAGCUGAAUGAGUAUCAACGGCUUGCUGUUGGAGAGGUGAAUGCCAUGAAGGUCUCUGUGAGUAAGAAAACUGCUAAUAAGGCACAGGCAUCCUGCUAUGCUGAGCUGUGCUACAACAGUGUGUCCAGUACUGGGCUCCACGUGAGAGAAAUUUGUAUGAUUUAGAGAAAGAGGUAGAAGUAACGAUCCGUCUUUGAACACAUGACUUUUACAGAGCCAGAGAGAACAGAAAGCCGCAGACGUGGUUAGUCUUCAAAUAGAUGAAAGGAUGCUGCCAUGAAGAAAGGGACAGUUUGUUCUCUCGUGUCCACUGGGGGUAGGGUGAGGAGCCAUAAGCUAAAAUAACAGCAAGGCAGAUCUAGGUUACAGUGAAAAAAUGUUCCGUGAUUCUUCUGAACCAGUCGAGCAGUGUUAGACUGACUAGGCAAGGUAUGGGCUGUUCUUAGAGGUUUUAAGAAUAGAUCAGACAAAUAUUUCUCACGGUGGGUGAAGUACAGUAUAAGAGCUUGCAUUCAGGAAGGAGACUUUGCUUAAUGGGCUCCUAACCCAGUGUUACUGUGGUUCUGUAGCCCUGAGAUAUGUAAUCGUUGCAGCCCUUGUUGGCUUAACGAUAAAACUAGUUCAGCUGCACAGAUUAAAGAUGCUCAGCUGGGCCAAGUGACAUUACGUAACGGGAAUGAAAUGGCGUUUAAGCAUGGCUUUAUGUUUUCAAAAUGAUUUUCACCAGAUGGGGUGAAAGUAUCUAAAUGAGGAGCUCUGCAGAGCUUUUAAGCAUUAAAGGCUAAGGCCUCAUCUUCAGCAUAGCUUUCCAGAGAGUGUCCCACCUUUGUUCCUGUGGUAUGGCUGAUGCAAUUAAACUCUGGUAAUCCAGAAAGGAUGCCAGUGUUUUUGAGAUUUAAGGCCUUGCAAGCCAAAUCAAAAUGAUUUUAAUAAAAGUAGUUUAGGUCAAUACGACCUUAAGAUAUAUCUGGGGGGAACAAAAAAAAAAAAGAGCUGGGACAUUGUUUUCAUUCUUUUUUUUAACAGCAAGGGCACACAGUUGGUAACAGCUGCUCAAAAAGUGGGUUGCAAUAUAUACAAAGAGGUAUUUGCAGAUCAUAGUGCUUAGUUUGAGAAGCCUUCUAGAAGUGUGUUAUUCACCCCAGUAUCUGAAAGCAGCAAUUUCUGGCACUGAAUGUUAUAUUGCAUCUGAUGCUUAACAGGGGGAUGAGAAAGGCCAUUUUUUCCUAAUUGAAUGCUCUGCCUUUCUAGACCUGCCAUUUAGAUCACAGUUUAUCAAGAUCGAUUUUUAUCAGGAAUACUCUUGAAUUAUGAGGAGUGCUUUCCUUUAGGUCAAAUGGAGUCACCAACUGAAAUAACUGCAAAUUCGGCAAUUUUAAGCUUGAAAAGUCAAUGUAUCUGAUUGUCCUAUUUUGUUUUUGUUGUGUUUUUUUUUGGGGGGGUUGUUUGUUUGUUUGUUGCAACUUAAUACAAUGUUAUGUGUGACAACUGUUAGAACUUCACAUAAUUUGUGCAACUGUUGUAAUACAAAAUAAGAAGGAAGGCAGACUGCUUGCAUAUUGAUCAGACUCACUGAGUGGUCUUCUUGCAUACUGGCUUUCUAGAUGAUGAUAAGCUCAAUGCUAACUGCUUUCUGCUCCUUGUGUUGGGAGCCUCCAUGCUCAAGCUGGUAGGUCUGGGGCUCCAAGUGCCCACCUUUAGAGCUAAGUGUCCAGGUGUGCAAUGCUCAGCUGUGCCUGCCCUGCUGUUAGCCUGCCUUCCAGAGAUUCUAUGCUUGAAUGCACUUGUUGCAGUUGUCCAAGCAGUGCUGGUGAAUAACAGCAAUGAUGGUGAUGGUGUUUGGAUGGUGGUAGUGUUUUACGCUGGCUGCUGCAGAAAAUUGGCUCCACUAGAAAAGAAAUAGUGGCAGUAUUUGUUGCUUUUUCUUUUUAGGUUGACAGUGAAAUUGUACACAGGUGUUUUAAACACUCUCAUUCGAGACAUUCACUAGGAGCCAGUCCUGCUAUUUCCUGAGCAUGUCUUCACAACCAGCAAAAUCUCACGUCCUGCAGCCUGUGCUCUGCUGCCACAGGAGCUGUGCCCACCUCCCAGGCUGUCAGUUUGCUUCUGUGCUUCUCCAUCAUCCUGUUGCAGCACCUCCUGACAUCAGGUUUGAGCACCAUCCUGGUACACUGUUUUGCUGUCACACUGUGAACAAUCUCAAUAUUUUUUUUUUCUGUACAAUAACCUUUAUUAAGACUUUGCAUUGCAACUAUUAUCAAGAGGAAUUAUUUUCAAGAGAGAGCCCAGAUCCCACUUUCUAUCUUACAGUCCCAGACCUGUCAGUGCAGGUAUUUCUCAAGUACUGAUGGUGUCUUCUGUCACUCAGGGUAUACUUGAGAACCAUACUUUCAGUUGCUGAGAUCUCAUACAGAUAGUUCUUCCAUCUGCAUGUUGUUGCGUGCUUUCUGUCCUCUAGUUUCUUUCCUGUGUAGCCGUCUUUGUUAUCUCAAGCCUGUUAGUGCAGUUUUGCUAUGUACCAUGCCCCCCAGAUUAGAUAGGCUUUUCCUUAAGAGAGAUUCUUCCUGUACAAUUGUGGUGCCCUUGAGAAGAUGCCCUUAUUGAUCAUCCCUUUUGGAAGCAUUAGGGUGCUGCUUAUUAGCCCUUUCUGUUUUACAUUGGUGGAAACCCCCCUGUAGCAACCAAUUGCCAUUUCAGAAUUUAUCUCCGUGUACAAACAGGUUUGUGGAGUACCUACGUUGAGAACACACCUGUUUUCCUCAUCUCUUUUCCACACCCUUUUCUGCUCUAGUAAGUUCAUGGCAGAUGGCUUCAAACACGAGCUUCAACUUCCGUAGCUGUUCCUGAGCCACUGACAUGGUGGAAGAGAAGUUUGGCACUUGGGUAUCUCUCCAGAAGCGAGCCCUUUGCUGGCUGAGGAUUCCUGGUGUGCAGUUAGAGCUGAUUUGGCCGUUCCACCCCUUUCUUCUGCCAUCUAGUUUGUGUAUGGUCUUCCUGUACUUGGACAGGCUUUGGUCAUCCUCCUAUUCCUGGACCAGCAAAUAUUUAACAAGAGAAAUGUUUGCACUGGAAAAAAGUGUCUUAGGAUAUGUCUGAUGUGAUCCUUCAGCAGAUUCACAAGAUACAGUUAUGUGAUGAAGCAUUGAGCAGGAGAUAUAAACAGCUGCUUCAAUUCUCAAUGUUUUCAGUUCUGCAGCUUCUCCAGCCGUUCUAGUUCUGCACACUGGUUGGUUUUGUUGUCAUCUUUUAUGGAAGAUCACCUCCUUUAGAGGCUUCUUGUGCAGACUGAAAAUUCUGCAGAAGAACGUCGUGUUUCUAUUUGGAGGAUAGCUCUGUAUCCAUUACUUAAUCUGAAAAGGAACAGCAGGAUACACAAUCACAGAAGGGAUUUGAAAUGUUGAUAUGAGGAUCAGAAAAAGAAAUAGGAAGAUGGUAUCUACCCCAGGAGUUUGGAGAUGCUCAUGCUCUUGAGUUUUGUUGCAACACAAAAAUAAAGGGUGCGUGUUGUGGUUCUGCUCCUGACGCAGCUCUUUUGCCACGCAGGAGGCUUCUGAGGAAGGAGUUUGGGAAAGCACCCACUGCUCUCUGGGCAUUCUGUGCUCCUUCCAGUUCUGUCAGUAGUGUUCUGAGGAGUUGUUCCUGCAGCUUUGCUCAUGCUGUUGCCCUCCAGCUAACUGAAAAGCGUGGAAUCAAUGUUAUCAAUAACUCUGAAGCACACAAAUCAGCAGUGGGUGUCAGAAGGGCCUGAAGUUUCAAAAGCAGACUGCAUGGGACCAUUGAAGAAACAGUCAGUUGUAAAUACACCCCAUGUGUGUUUUAGGCAAAGGUGGUCUCCAGCCCUUUCAAGCAGAAUUUCAAGUUGCUGAGCUCGUCCUCCAACACCCCUUGGCACUGCUCAGGGCAAUGCUUCCAUCACCAGGCUCUGGCUCAGUAGAACUGUCCAUCUUUGCUCUCAUCAUUUGGCCUGGGCACAGCUCAGCACCCAGCAAGUUCUCUCAUUCCUACUGAAGAGAUGGGAAUCCAGUGUUCAUCCUGCAUACCUGCUACACCUUCUGCCUCUGGGAGCAGCAGGCCUCCAUUUGCAAGAAGUGGGUUUGCUGCUUUUGUGCAGUUUAUUAAAGAUUUGGGGUUGGAUUAAAGAUUUAUUAAAGAUUUAUUAAAGAUUUGGGGGCUUGGAGAUUCAUGAUCCUUGAGCUCCCUUCCAACCUCGGCCAU